ensembl:lncRNA
GUGCUGGCAAGCAAAACCCAGCCCGGGAGAGGGAACGGGGGGGGAGACUGGGGGGGGGAGCAGAGAGAGAGACUUUCCCCCAUCCACCCCCACCCCUUUUUUAUUUUUUUAUUUUUUUUCUCCGAGGCUGCACUUUGGAAGAGGUGCAGUCAUUCUUACCCACACCCCCUACCCUCUCUCCACUCCCCCAACUAUAAAUUCCCUUCUGUAGCAUGCUGCCCUUUUGUAAUCCACAUUUGUGUUUCAGAUCAUGUAGAAAGGACAGAAAGUGAGCAGGGAGCGGGGGCUUUUGUCUAUUGUUCUCCUUGUGCUACUUGAGAGAAACUGCAAUCCCAGGCUUAACAGAACCUAAAAAUGGUUUAUCAACCAGGUUCAAUGACUUGGGUAAAGCAGAAGAUCUUUCCAACCAGCCGUGGGGAUGGGGGAUUUCCAAAGGGAAAUCCCCCUAUCUCAAAGGAAGUGAAUCGCAAGAAAAGUGAGGUGGAGGGGACAUCCCUGGCUCCAGCAAGUGGCCAUGGACAACAUUUCACCAAAAUCAAUUACCUCUACUCUUUUUAAACAUUAUUUCUCCAUUCAUAUUACAUAUGGUGUAUGGGUUUGAUGAGGUCAUGGUGUCAUAUAUUGGAAAUUGUUUCUGUGUAAAUCAUCAAGUGUAAGAAGAAACUACGGGACUCUGAGCCUUGCUUUAGAGAAUAACAAUGGACAAACAUGUACCAUAAAAAAUAGUUUUUAACAUUCUAACUCAAGCGAAAGCUCUCAGAAUUUCACACUGUGAAUCCAUGUUUACAAACAUUACAGGUGGGCCCUCAGGCCUGGUUCUACCACAGCAAUGUCUUUCACUACUCAAACUCCACAGCUCACACACAACCGGUAAACCACUCUCUCCAUUUCCAACAACCCAAACUGCUUCUUGCAGAGGCUGAGAGUCCCCCUUUUUUUUCAUUUAGAUGUAACAAGCCUAGUAGUUUAUUUUCAUUGAUGGUCUGUAUAUCUCUAUAUUUUAUCCAUGUACUCUUUUGAUGUAUAGAAGUAGUAUGAAACUCAUGGUUUCCUUGUGGUAAGUGAUCGUGAUGCUGCCACGGGAUUUGAGACACUGAUGAAUGGUGCUAUUUUGGACUUUAAAUAUGCUCCUUGGCAAGGUAGCUCUGAUGGAGUUAUUUUUUAUUUCCAUGUUCUGAGAGGGUGUUGGUACUUUGUUUUUCUGAAUGUUGUUCUUUAGACUGGACUGACUUGUUUACUUGUGUCUUCAGUGUGGCUUUCUUAUUCAGUGCUGUAGGUGAGUAACUACUUAUAGUGUACAAGUGAGGAACUGAUUCCCUAUCAGUGUCCACUCACAAACAUGCAGUUAUAGUGGGAGCAAUCACAAAACUGUAAUUUUCGUAAAAUCUCCUUUCUGACUCCUAUCCACCUUAUGGAGAAAGAUGAGCAAUAAUUUUCCACCAACUUCUCAAAAUCUCUUGAUUUUUGUCUUUUUUUCUUACAAGCCUUUUUUAAAGAAGGGACAAGUUUUAAUGUCCUCUUCAAAUCCAUAAACUAGGGGAUAUAGUAAGAAAAAUACAGCAAAUUUCUGGGAAGAGAAGUCCUAAAGGGGAAAGAGUACAUUUCCACAAUACUGUCAACAUGUGGACUUUACAUUUUUGUUCUUGCUCCCAAUCUACUAUAAAUACAAAAUAACACAAACCACAAAACUAAGCAGUAUCAUCUACUCAUGGAGUGUUGUUGUGUUAGACACAGUCUGAAAGCCCACCUUAAUUUUUUAUAUAAUUCUGUCUUUUAGCUAUUCCUUUUACAGGGCAGGCCUUGUUCUGAACUGUCUUAGCUUCUGACUGUUAAAAACCAAUGCAUGCACUGCACUUCUAGAUUUCUUUCCUUUCCCUACCUUCUGUGUCCCUUUCCUUGUACACUUUCUUUUCCAAUAGAAUAGAUAUGUCUGCUGUGCUGUAUAUAGAGCAAGAAGUAAUAUUCAACAGUUGUGGCAUUUAUGUAUAGGUGCAGCUGUGUACUGCUGAAAAUGCAGGCUUUUGUAACAAUGUGAUCUUUAAUAAUGCAAGUACCCAAUGUAUUUUAGCUAUUUUAGUAGGUUUUGUUCAAUAAAUAUGCAAGCUCUAAGGGUGGCUGUGACGUG